rnacentral:rRNA from 1 species
AACGCGAAGAACCUUACCAGGGCUUGACAUCAUGGUGCCAGCCGUGGAAACACGGUCUUCCGUAGCAAUACGGACGCCAUGACAGGUGUUGCAUGGUUGUCGUCAGCUCGUGUCGUGAGAUGUUGGGUUAAGUCCCGCAACAAGCGCAACCCCUAUCCACUGUUGCCAACGGGUAAUGCCGGGGACUCAUUGGAGACUGCCGGGGACAAUCCGGAGGAAGGUGGGGAUGACGUCAAAUCAUCAUGGCCCUUAUGUCUUGGGCUUCACACGCGCUACAAUGGCCGGUACAAAGGGCUGCGAAGGAGCGAUCGGGAGCGAAUCCCUAAAAACCGGCCCCAGUUGGGAUUGCAGGCUGCAACUCGCCCCGUGAACUCGGAAUGCUAGU